rnacentral:tRNA from 1 species
UCUUCUGUAUUUUAUUUAAAAUAUCAUAUUUUCAUUAUGAAGAAGAUUUUGUUUUAUCCAGAAGCU